rnacentral:rRNA from 1 species
GAUGAACGCUGGCUACAGGCUUAACACAUGCAAGUCGAGGGGAAACGGCAUUGAGUGCUUGCACUGAAUGGACGUCGACCGGCGCACGGGUGAGUAACGCGUAUCCAACCUUCCCGUUACUGCGGGAUAACCUGCCGAAAGGCAGACUAAUACCGCAUGUUCUUCUAUGACGGCAUCAGAUUCGUAGCAAAGAUCCGUCGGUAACGGAGGGGGAUGCGUCUGAUUAGCUAGUUGGCGGGGCGACGGCCCACCAAGGCGACGAUCAGUAGGGGUUCUGAGAGGCAGGUCCCUCACAUGGGAACAGGGACACGGACCAAAGCACUACGGGAGGGAGCAGUGAGGUACAGUAGGCAGUGGGGGGGAGUCUGAAACAGCCAAGUAGAGUGCAGGAUGGCGGCGCUACGGGUGGUAAACUGCUUUUAGGCGGGGAAAGAGUGAGGGACCGGUCCCUUUUUGAAGGUACCGCAUGAAUAAGGACCGGCUAAUUCCGUG